rnacentral:rRNA from 1 species
CCUACGGGAGACAGCAGUGAGGAAUAUUGGUCAAUGGACGAGAGUCUGAACCUGCCAAGUAGCGUGAAGGAUGACUGCCCUAUGGGUUGUAAACUUCUUUUAUAUGGGAAUAAAAUGUUCCACGUGUGGGAUUUUGUAUGUACCAUAUGAAUAAGGAUCGGCUAACUCCGUGCAAGCAGCCGUGGUAAUACGGAGGAUCCGAGCGUUAUCCGGAUUUGUGGGGUUGAAAGGGCGCGUAGGUGGAUUGUUAAGUCAGUGGUGAAAGUUUGCGGCGCAACCGUAAAAUUGCAGUUGAAACUGGCAGUCUUGAGUACAGUAGAGGUGUGCGGAAUUCGUGGUGUAGCGGUGAAAUGCUUAGAUAUCACGAAGAACUCCGAUUGCGAAGGCAGCUCACUGGACUGCAACUGACACUGAGGCUCGAAAGUGUGGGUAUCAAACAGGAUUAGAUACCCCAGUAGUC